rnacentral:rRNA from 1 species
AGAGAUUGAGUUUGAUCCUGGCUCAGAUUGAACGCUGGCGGCAGGCUUAACACAUGCAAGUCGAGCGGGGGCUUCGGCCCUAGCGGCGAACGGGUGAGGAAUGCCUGGGAAUCUGCCUAUUAGUGGGGGAUAACGUUCCGAAAGGAACGCUAAUACCGCAUACGUCCUACGGGAGAAAGCAGGGGACCUUCGGGCCUUGCGCUAAUAGAUGAGCCCAGGUCGGAUUAGCUAGUUGGUGGGGUAAAGGCUCACCAAGGCGACGAUCCGUAGCUGGUCUGAGAGGAUGAUCAGCCACACUGGAACUGAGACACGGUCCAGACUCCUACGGGAGGCAGCAGUGGGGAAUAUUGGACAAUGGGCGAAAGCCUGAUCCAGCCAUGCCGCGUGUGUGAAGAAGGCCUUCGGGUUGUAAAGCACUUUAAGCGGGGAGGAAGGGCUUCUGGCUAAUACCCAGGAGCAUUGACGUUACCCGCAGAAUAAGCACCGGCUAACUCUGUGCCAGCAGCCGCGGUAAUACAGAGGGUGCAAGCGUUAAUCGGAAUUACUGGGCGUAAAGCGCGCGUAGGCGGUUUGUUAAGUCGGAUGUGAAAUCCCCGGGCUCAACCUGGGCACGGCAUCCGGAUACUGGCGGACUAGAGUGUGGGAGAGGAAGGUAGAAUUCCAGGUGUAGCGGUGAAAUGCGUAGAGAUC